rnacentral:rRNA from 1 species
GUUGAUCCUGCCGGAGGUCACUGCUAUCGGUGUCCGAUUAANCCAUGCGAGUCGUGAGGGGUUAUGCCCUCGGCGGACUGCUCUGUAACACGUGGAUAACCUGCCCAAAGGUCUGGGAUAACCCCGGGAAACUGGGGAUAACACCGGAUAGAUCACCCACGCUGGAAACGCCGGGUGGCCGAAAAAGCAAAUUGCCUUUGGAUGGGUCUGCGGCGGAUUAGGUAGACGCCGGUGUAACGUACCGGCGUGCCUGUAAUCCGUACGGGUUGUGGGAGCAAGAGCCCGGAGAUGGAUUCUGAGACACGAAUCCAGGCCCUACGGGGCGCAGCAGGCGCGAAAACUCUACAAUGCAGGAGACUGCGAUAGGGGGACAUCGAGUGGCAUCCACCUCGGAUGCCUGUCCAACCGUCUAAAAAACGGUUGUCAGCANGGGCCGGGUAAGACCGGUGCCAGCCGCCGCGGUAAUACCGGCGGCUCGAGUGGUGGCCGAUAUUAUUGAGUCUAAAGGGUCCGUAGCCGGCUCUGCAAGUCCCCUGGGAAAUCCAGCGGCUCAACCGUUGGGCUUCCACGGGAUACUACAUUGCUUGGGACUGGGAGAGGUAGGAGGUACUCGGGGGGUAGGGGU